rnacentral:rRNA from 1 species
CCUACGGUGAGCAGCAGUGGGGAAUAUUGGGCAAUGGGCGCAAGCCUGACCCAGCAACGCCGCGUGAAGGAAGAAGGCUUUCGGGUUGUAAACUUCUUUUAUCAGGGACGAAGCAAGUGACGGUACCUGAUGAAUAAGCCACGGCUAACUACGUGCCAGCAGCAGCGGUAAUACGGGGGAUGCGAGCGUAAUCCGGAUUUAUUGGGUUUAAAGGGUGCGCAGGCGGAUUUUUAAGUCAGCGGUCAAAUCGUGGGGCUCAACCCCAUCCAGCCGUUGAAACUGGGGAUCUAGUGUGUGCGAGAGGUAUGCGGGAUGCGGGGUGUAGCGGUGAAAUGCAUAGAUAUCACGCAGAAACCCGAUGGCGAAGGCAGCAUACCGGUGCACAACUGACGCUCAGGCACGAAAGCGUGGGUAUCGAACAGGAUUAGAUACCCUUGUAGUC